rnacentral:sRNA from 2 species
CUCUAAUUAUCCAUAGUAUGUUCUGCUUAUAGCCCACCAACCCGCAGCCACCAACCACGGCAAAAACGGGAGUGCGAAAAGAAGCAAAAAGGGCGCAUCAUCACUCCGGGUGUUGGUCAGCGGGUGAUUUCAUCAUCAUGCAUCGUCCCUGUUGGCUUCUUCUUUCCGCAUUACGAUUCCCCCCGCCCCCUACACUUUUUACAAAAACCGAAAAGCUCCGCCAAUUGAGAAAGGGGGAAAAGUCAGAGGAGUGAGAAAGUACAUGACAUUACAACCCAGAAACAAGAAAAAAGCAAGCAGAAGAGGUUGUUGUUGAUCGGUGUUUAGUUGGAACAGUUUGCAAAAAGCACUCACGGGAUCUGAUCUAGCCAUGUGGAUUUCAACCCAUAGCAAAAACUCCCAAAGGCCCCUCCCUGUUCAAUGAAUCCCGUGUACCCCUGAGCAACUUGUUUUCCAUCCCGCUACUUCCGAAUGACGCUGCGUUCAAUAUAGGAUUUGAAGCGAUUGCUAUGAAUAGUUAGUGGUAGUAUUUUCGAGAUUCUAGCUUGAACUAGCAUCGUAUGGCGGGCCCAAUCAUCCAAUCAGCGAACGAUACAAUAUGGCACCGGUCUCUAACCCGAUGCUGAGCUUCCUUGCUACUUACUAGUCGAUAUGCCAGAUGAUAGACGACUGUUGCAGAGCGGAAGAAGGGUCGUCGAAAUAUCUGCUGCAGUUCGUUUGCGUCGUGGGCGGCUAUAUUAUUGAAUUAAAAUUUAUUUACAUUGUGUCUUCGGCUCAGAGCCUCCAAUCCACCUAUUCCGUCAUGAUCACCACU